rnacentral:rRNA from 1 species
UUGAACGCUGGCGGCAUGCUUUACACAUGCAAGUCGAACGGUAACAGGUCUUCGGAUGCUGACGAGUGGCGAACGGGUGAGUAAUGCAUCGGAACGUGCCCAGUCGUGGGGGAUAACGCAGCGAAAGCUGUGCUAAUACCGCAUACGAUCUAUGGAUGAAAGCGGGGGACCUUAGGGCCUCGCGCGAUUGGAGCGGCCGAUAUCAGAUUAGGUAGUUGGUAGGGUAAAGGCCUACCAAGCCAACGAUCUGUAGCUGGUCUGAGAGGACGACCAGCCACACUGGAACUGAGACACGGGCCAGACUCCUACGGGAGGCAGCAGUGGGGAAUUUUGGACAAUGGGCGAAAGCCUGAUCCAGCCAUUCCGCGUGCAGGAUGAAGGCCCUCGGGUUGUAAACUGCUUUUGUACAGAACGAAAAGGUCUCUAUUAAUACUAGGGGCUCAUGACGGUACUGUAAGAAUAAGCACCGGCUAACUACGUG